rnacentral:rRNA from 1 species
AGCGAGUUUGGAAGCGACGUCAAAGCAUUUAGAGAUUAAUUUCUCGACUUGUUGCAUUUCGCAUGAAGUUAGACCAGGCUACCCACUGAAUUUAAGCAUAUAAGUAAGUGGAGGAAAAGAAAAUGAAUAUGAUUCCCUAAGUAAGGGCGACUGAACCGGGAAAAGCUCAGCUUGUAAAUCUGUGGGUUUCCCACUGAAUUGUAGUCUUGAUAAGUGUUGCCAGUGGCGGACCGGGCGUAAGUCUUUUUGGAAGAAAGCAUCAUAGAGGGUGAGAAUCCCGUAUUUUCUUCGUCCGGAUUCCGUCGCGUUCGGCGCGCUGUUUAGAGUCGCGUACUUUGGAAGUGGUGCGCUAAAUGGGUGGUAAUUUUCAUCUAAAGCUAAAUAUCGACUCGAGACCGAUAGCAAACAAGUACCGUGAGGGAAAGGUGAAAAGGACUUUGGAAAGAGAGUUAAAAGUGCGUGAAAUCGCUAAGAGGGAAGCGAAUGAAACCAGUUCAUUGCGGUAAGAUUGCUGUUGCUUAACUGGAAGGCGCGUGUUGGCACCGCAAGGGUCAGCUAGUGUUGGAAGGGGAAGGUAGCGGUGUUUCUUGCUGUUAAGGUCAACUUGAGUUGGGAGUUCGACGAAAUCCGCGUCUGUCUCCGGAUACUGUUGCGGCGGUAUGCGAGACUGGUGUUGGUAGUCUUACCUCGACUGAGGACUGCGGGCGGUGCGCCACCUGGGCAUAUUCUCUGUGAAACCUUGCUCUACUCCUAGAGUGCAGUGAGGCUAGCGGUGAUGAGUCUAGAUCGUGUUGCUCUGUGAAGUUGACAAAAUGUUUUUAUUCGACCCGUCUUGAAACACGGACCAAGGAGUCUAA